GUUUGCUUAGUUAGUAAUGGCAGACCUAUUUUUCGGGCCACAAUGAGCUUGAAAGACAGGGAUGAGAGAAGACAGCGUGACAAAUUAGCACCUAUAAGAAACAUUUGGGAUCAAUGCAAUCGACAGCUCAGCUUCAGGCAGUACAUUCCAUCGAAGCCCGCAAAAUACGGCUUAAAAAUAUGGGCUCUUUGUGAUUCAAAAAGCAAGUAUGCAUGGAACAUGGAAGUUUUUUUUGAACGGGCAAGAAAUACGCAACCGGAAUGGAACCAAGGUGAACGUGUUGUUCUAUCCCUAUCAGAACCCCUUCCCAGAGGUCACACUAUUACUUGCGAUAAAUCUCGCCGUUCAGCUACUUCGCAGGAAAUUUACUUUACUCGGUACAGUGAGGAAAAAUAAGCUUUUUUUGCCAC